UUAAUUGAAGCCAAAAUAGAGGCAUAUUACUGUUAAUAAUAAUAAUGAAUUUUAAUUCCAAUUAAA
rnacentral:tRNA from 1 species